rnacentral:rRNA from 1 species
GCGUAAUAGCUCACUGGUCGAGUCGGCCUGCGCGGAAGAUGUAACGGGGCUAAACCAUGCACCGAAGCUGCGGCAGCGACACUAUGUGUUGUUGGGUAGGGGAGCGUUCUGUAAGCCUGCGAAGGUGACCUGUGAGGGUUGCUGGAGGUAUCAGAAGUGCGAAUGCUGACAUAAGUAACGAUAAAGCGGGUGAAAAGCCCGCUCGCCGGAAGACCAAGGGUUCCUGUCCAACGUUAAUCGGGGCAGGGUGAGUCGACCCCUAAGGCGAGGCCGAAAGGCGUAGUCGAUGGGAAACAGGUUAAUAUUCCUGUACUUGGUGUUACUGCGAAGGGGGGACGGAGAAGGCUAUGUUAGCCGGGCGACGGUUGUCCCGGUUUAAGCAUGUAGGCUGGUUGUCCAGGCAAAUCCGGAUAAUCAAGGCUGAGGUGUGAUGACGAGGCACUACGGUGCUGAAGUAACAAAUGCCCUGCUUCCAGGAAAAGCCUCUAAGCAUCAGGUAACAUCAAAUCGUACCCCAAACCGACACAGGUGGUCAGGUAGAGAAUACCAAGGCGCUUGAGAGAACUCGGGUGAAGGAACUAGGCAAAAUGGUGCCGUAACUUCGGGAGAAGGCACGCUGGUGUGUAGGUGA